AGCCAUCAGAUAUAACGAUUGUUAAAUCAAUGAAGAACCCUCCUGCAGGAGUAAAACUUGUUAUGGCUGCCGUUUGUGUUAUGAAAGAUGUGAAACCUGAUAAAAUCAAUGACCCUUCUGGAACUGGAGGAAAGAUACUCGAUUACUGGGGACCAUCGAAGAAGAUACUUGGAGAUAUGAAUUUCUUGAAUCAGUUAAAAGAGUAUGACAAAGAUAAUAUUCCGGUAAGUACACAGCAAAAAAUCAUUUUCUUAUUUUAAGAAAAACAAAACUUAUUUUAAGAAAAUUUUA